UACGUAGGGGGCUAGCGUUGUCCGGAAUCAUUGGGCGUAAAGAGCGCGUAGGCGGCCAGAUAAGUCCGGUGUGAAAGUCACAGGCUCAACCUGUGAAUGCCGCUGGAAACUGUCUGGCUAGAGUCCGGAAGGGGCGAGUGGAAUUCCUGGUGUAGCGGUGAAAUGCGCAGAUAUCAGGAGGAACACCAAUGGCGAAGGCAGCUCGCUGGGACGGUACUGACGCUGAGGCGCGAAAAGCGUGGGGAGCAAACAGG
rnacentral:rRNA from 1 species